GGGCGAAACCAUGUUUCCUAUUUUGGUUCACUGUGGUGUUUUAGUGUUUCAUCGUAACAUUUCUCCACAUUAGAACAAUACAGUAUUACCUUCAAACAUCCUAAUAUGAUGACUCUGUUUAUUUGGUUUCAUUUACUGAUUAUAGUUGGAGUUCAUGUAAGAUCAGAAGUGUCAGGUCUCCUUCAAAAACCUUACAUAGAGUCUCCAGAGAAACAAAUGAAUAUAGAAGACACCAUUAUGAUUCGCUGCAAAUUUGGGAGUGGAAUUCGCUGCUAUUUCUAUAA
rnacentral:lncRNA from 1 species